rnacentral:rRNA from 1 species
UUUUAGGUCUGAUAAUUGGAAUGAGUACAAUUUAAAUCCCUUAACGAGGAUCAAUUGGAGGGCAAGUCUGGUGCCAGCAGCCGCGGUAAUUCCAGCUCCAAUAGCGUAUAUUAAAGUUGCUGCAGUUAAAAAGCUCGUAGUUGGAUUUCUGGUUUUAAUUGACUUAGCCCGCUACGGUUACGUAUGUGUGUGCUGAUGUUAAUUGACCAUCCUUCUAGAGAACAUUGUUCUACUCUUCAUUGAGCAUGAAUAUGCAAUCUAGAUCUUUUACUUUGAAAAAAUUAGAGUGUUUAAAGCAGGCAAUAUUGCUAUGAAUACAUUAGCAUGGAAUAAUAAUUUAGGACUUUGGCUCUAUUUUGUUGGUUUCUAGGACUGAAGUAAUGAUUGAUAGGGAUAGUUGGGGGUGCUAGUAUUCANUGGCCAGAGGUGAAAUUCUCGGAUUCACUGAAGACUAACUUAUGCGAAAGCAUUCACCAAGGAUGUCUUCUUUAAUCAAGAACGAAAGUUGGGGGAUCGAAGACGAUCAGAUACCGUCGUAGUCUCAACUAUAAACUAUGCCGACUAGGGAUGAGUGAACGUUGCAUUUUCGACUUCAUUCGAACCUUAUGAGAAAUCAAAGUCUUUGGGUUCCGGGGGGAGUAUGAUCGCAGGUUGAAACUUAAAGGAUUGACGGAAGGCACCACCAGGAGUGG